rnacentral:rRNA from 1 species
AGACAGCAGUAGCCGCGGGAAAACGUAGGUGGCAAGCGUUGUCCAGAAUUAUUGGGCGUAAAGGGCUCGCAGGCGGUUUCUUAAGUCUGAUGUGAAAGCCCCCGGCUCAACCGGGGAGGGUCAUUGGAAACUGGGAAACUUGAGUGCAGAAGAGGAGAGUGGAAUUCCACGUGUAGCGGUGAAAUGCGUAGAGAUGUGGAGGAACACCAGUGGCGAAGGCGACUCUCUGGUCUGUAACUGACGCUGAGGAGCGAAAGCGUGGGGAGCGAACAGGAUUAGAUACCCCAGUAGUCCCUGUCUCUUAUAC